AUUUGGUUUUCAACAACCCACUUUCGACCCAUUUGAAGUUCCAACUUUGGAGGACCUGUUUUGGAAAAUGUAGGAGAGGCUGUACGACCACCUUUCUCGCUAGAACCCACCAUGCCAACUCUAUCUGCACGGUUCUUGGUUUUCAUGUCAUCUGUGACUUUCUUCAGACCUAGAGUCACAGGCUUCCCAGAAUUAAUUUCUUGGAAAACAGCAGCCAUUCCUUCUUUUGGCUUAGAAGAUGAAGCCUGAGAAGGUUCAGAGUUGAACAGUGAAGCUGGAGGGGGUGGAGGUGGGGCUGGUGCGCUUGGUGCUGAUGUUUUAGGAGGUGAAGCUUUGGGAGCAGCAGAAGCAGCUUUUUUCCCAGUAACACUCCAUACUGGACCCAAAGGAUAAAAACUUUUGACAUAGUCCCUUAGACCUGGCAAAUAGAGUUCCUUCAUAGCUUUGGCCCACUCAACA
rnacentral:misc_RNA from 1 species